AUGGCGGGGAGCACAUCCGAGCCGCUGUGCCAGCCGUGCGUUUACCGCGGAGCCUUCAAAGUGGAGCUACAGGUGAGGAGACCUCUGAUGCCGGUCCAGCUGAGUCCGGAGCAGGUGGGCCUGGAGAUGUUGUGUCUGUGCGGGCAGCUGGACCUCCUCAUCAGGGCACAGAUGCAGCAGUUUCAGGAGCAGCUGGGACACGGCUGCAGCCCGGAGGAGUCAGACACGUUUCAGGCUCAAGGAUCAGAGAUCCUUGACCAGAUGCUGCAGUGCCUUGAACAUCUACCAAAGCCUAUGCCCCAGCUGGAGGACUACCUGGACAUGGUGGGUCUGUCGGUCAUGUUCCCCCGUGUAGAGGUGUUCCUCAUUCAAGGCAGCCCAGUGGACAUGCUGGAGAGGCCGCCGAUGGACGACUACUACUCCCACGUCACCAAACUGAACCAGCUCCUGGUGCUGAGUCAACAGCUGGAAGAAGAUAUCCGGCACCUCGGGAGUCACAAAUACAUUGCCCACCAGCUGUCGGUCAUCUAUCAAGUCGUCUGCUCUUUCAGAGGCAUUCAGGCUUUUUCCAAAAUGAAGAAAGACAUCGAGGCCAACUUCAAACAGCUGAAGCAGUCUCUGGUGGCGGAGGAGGGCUCCAGGCACGAACCUCAGCUGGCCGCAAACUACAUCGACUGGGUACUAGAGCUGACUCAGAGCUUGACGUCGCUGGUGUUGACGCUGCCCGAGGAGCUGACCGAGGAACUCGACCAGGCCGUGACCUUCGUGUCCCAGUUCCUUUCCUGA
ensembl:lncRNA